UACAGAGGUCCCGAGCGUUGUUCGGAUUCAUUGGGCGUAAAGGGUGCGUAGGCGGUUUGCUAAGUUUGAUGUGAAAUCCCGGGGCUUAACCCCAGGACUGCAUUGAAUACUGGCGGACUAGAGUACUGGAGAGGAAACUGGAAUUUACGGUGUAGCAGUGAAAUGCGUAGAGAUCGUAAGGAAGACCAGUGGCGAAGGCGAGUCUCUGGACAUUUCCUGACGCUGAGGCACGAAAGCCAGGGGAGCAAACGGG
rnacentral:rRNA from 1 species